GAUGAACGCUGGCGGCGUGCCUAAUACAUGCAAGUCGAGCGAACAGAUGAGGAGCUUGCUCCUCUGACGUUAGCGGCGGACGGGUGAGUAACACGUGGAUAACCUACCUAUAAGACUGGGAUAACUUCGGGAAACCGGAGCUAAUACCGGAUAAUAUAUUGAACCGCAUGGUUCAAUAGUGAAAGACGGUUUUGCUGUCACUUAUAGAUGGAUCCGCGCCGCAUUAGCUAGUUGGUAAGGUAACGGCUUACCAAGGCAACGAUGCGUAGCCGACCUGAGAGGGUGAUCGGCCACACUGGAACUGAGACACGGUCCAGACGCCUACGGGAGGCAGCAGUAGGGAAUCGUCCGCAAUGGGCGAAAGCCUGACGGAGCAACGCCGCGUGAGUGAUGAAGGUCUUCGGAUCGUAAAACUCUGUUAUGAGGGAAGAACAAAUGUGUAAGUAACUAUGCACGUCUUGACGGUACCUAAUCAGAAAGCCACGGCUAACUACGUG
rnacentral:rRNA from 1 species